ensembl:lncRNA
GUAAGCGGUGCUCAGCCGCUAAGUCAUGUCCCACUCUUUACGACUCCCAUGGACUGUAACCCACCAGGCUCCUCUGUCCAUGGGACUCCCCAGGCAAAACUACUGGAAUGGGUUGCCAUUUCCUCCUCCAGGGGAUCUUCCAGACCCAGGGAUUGAACCCUCGUCUCUUAUGUCUCCUGCAUUGGCAGACAGGUUCUUUACCACUAACGCCACCUGGGAAGCCCUUGGGAACCUUCAUAUAUGAUUCUCCCCCUGAAUAGAAAUCCACCUCCUUUACCCAAUUAAUAUCCUCAGACUUAAGAUUUAGCCUCCAUUUUUCUUUCUUUGUUUCAGUCCUUGGGUCAGGAAGAUCCUCUGGAAUAGGAAAUGGGAACCCACUCCAGUAUUUUUGCCAGGAAAAUUACAUGGACAGAGAAGCCUGGUGGGCUACAGUCCAGGAGGUUGCAAAGAGUUGGACACCAUUGAGCACACACACAUUUCUUCGUUUGUGUGCUUUCCUGAGACCUAAUAGAAAUCAUUGUUCCCCUUUACCAGGCUUGUGCAACCAUCCUGCAGCUGCUGUGAGC